AACUACUACUGCAGGACCUUCCACAACAGCACCACAAACAACAUCUACAGCAGUAACUUCUGUGAUUCCCACUUCAAUCACUACUGAAAGCACCACUGUCAGCACAGCCACAAUAUCCACAUCACCAACAGCUACAACAGCACUUCCUUCAACAGUGACAUCAUCUCCUGUUGGAACUACUACUGCAGGACCUUCCACAACAGCACCACAAACAACAUCUACAGCAGUAACUUCUGUGCUUCCCACUUCUAUCACUACUGAAAGCACCACUGUCAGUACAGCAACAACAUCUACAUCACCAACAGCUACAACAACACUUCCUUCAACAGUGACAUCAUCUCCUGCUGGAACUACUACUGCAGGACCUUCCACAACAGCACCACAAACAACAUCUACAGCAGUAACUUCUGUGAUUCCCACUUCAAUCUCUACUGAAAGAACCACUGUCAGCACAGCCACAAUAUCCACAACGCCAACAGCUACAACAAAAGGGCCCUCAGCUACAACUACAAAAUCUGCACCUGUGUAUCUAACAGAUCUGGUGUUCCGCUCUUUAGACAACUUUAAUGUAGAACUCAGUGACCCAAACUCUCAGACCUUCAAGAACAGGGCUCAGCUUGUCAUAUCUCAGCUUGAACCAAUCUACAAAGCAAAAUAUUUUUCCUUUAUUGGAGUGAAUGUCUUGCUUUUCAGACAAGGGUCAGUAAUCACGGAAACACAGCUAGCUUUCAACUCCACACAAGCUAUUCCAACUGUUCAAGAGAUUUCAGACACCCUCUUUACAGCAGUGAUAAACGGAAGUGUCAACCCACUGAACAUAACUCCUUAUUCAAUUUCAGUCAACGGUUCGAUUAUAAACGUGACUACUUCAACUACAGCAUCAACAACAACAACAGCAAUGACGAUGACAACAACAAGAACAACAACAACCACACCGACAACAACUACAAGACCCUUGACAUCUACAACUAAAGUGCCUGCAACUAAAACUACACAAUUUGUACCUGUGUAUCUAACAGCUCUGGUGUUCCGCUCUUUAGACAUAUUCAUAACUGAACUCAGUAAUCAAAGCUCUCAGGCCUUCAAGUCAAGAUCUGAGCUUGUCAGAUCUCAGCUUGAACUCAUCUACAGAGCAAAAUAUCUUUCCUUUAUCAGCGUGGAUGUCUUAAGUUUCCGUCCUGGGUCAAUCAUCACAGAAACCCAGCUAGCUUUUAACUCCACACAAGCUGUUCCAACCGUUCAAGAGAUUUCAGACACUCUCUUUACAUCAGUGAUAAAUGGAUUUGUCAGUCCACUGAACAUAACUCCUUAUUCAAUUUCAGUCAAUGGUUCAAGUAAGUUUGCUUGCAUUUCAGCAAACAUCUUGCAGAUUCUGAAAGUCUUAGAAAAACUGUGCUUACCACUUUUGCUCAGUAGAUCUUGUAGAAUUUACAACCUUCAUAUCACUAUGUAUACUGACACAGUGCAUUUUAUCUAA
ensembl:lncRNA